GGACAUGGCAGCUGAGGGAUCGUCAGAGGACAGGGAUGCUGAAAGCCAACCGACUGACCCUGAGUCAUGAAAAGAUGGAAUCAUUGUUAUGAAAACCAAGUCAGGACCGUACAGCUCUGGUGUGUAGCGAGUGGCCAUCAGAUCCAGAUCCGGAAAUGCACGAUGAGACAUCUUCAGAGGAUGAAGAGGAUAAAGAGAGACAUACUUCGAGAGGAAUAACUGUGAUAUGCAUCUGCUGGCUUCGCAUGAAAAGUAAGGAGGUUGAUCAGCAGACCUGCAAAGAUGACAUUAUGGCUGACGUUAUUAGGGCUGUUGUAGUAAAAACCAUUUACCGUUGUUUGAAAAGAGAGCUUUUUGAAAACUCUGCAGCCUGUGCGAGAGAGCCUUCCAAUGAUCUCAGCCAUGUCUGUUUGACUUGGGAUUGCUCAAAAACAUUUCACCAGAUUAAGAUAAAUUUCUUCUCAUCUGAACAUGGUUCGGGUCCUAAAUAUAAUUAUGGCUGAAGCCUACAAACUGAAGCAGCUU